GGGCCGGUAGCUCAGUUGGUUAGAGCGCGGGACUUAUAAGCCCGUGGUCGAUGGUUCAACUCCAUCCCGGCCCACCA
rnacentral:tRNA from 3 species